CCUAUGGGAGGCUGCAGUGAGGAAUAUUGGUCAAUGGGCGGAAGCCUGAACCAGCCAUGCCGCGUGCAGGAAGACGGCCCUACGGGUUGUAAACUGCUUUUCCGGGGGAAGAAUAAGGCCGACGUGUCGGCCGAUGCCGGUACCCCGGGAAUAAGGAUCGGCUAACUCCGUGCCAGCAGCCGCGGUAAUACGGAGGAUCCGGGCGUUAUCCGGAUUUACUGGGUUUAAGGCGUGCGUUGGCGGCCGCGGUGAAAUACGGGGGCUCAACCUUCGAACGGCCGUUGAUACUGGGCGCCUUGGAUUCGGUCGAGGCGGGCGGAAUGCGACAUGUAGCGGUGAAAUGCUUAGAUAUGUCGCAGAACGCCGAUUGCGAAGGCAGCUCGCCAGGCCGACAUUGAUGCUGAGGCACGAAAGCGUGGGGAUCGAACAGGAUUAGAUACCCCAGUAGUC
rnacentral:rRNA from 1 species